rnacentral:tRNA from 1 species
GGCCUCGUGGUCUAGUGGUAUGAUUCUCGCUUCGGGUGCGAGAGGUCCCGGGCUCGAUUCCCGGUGAGGCCU